rnacentral:sRNA from 1 species
AUGGCGGCGACGGCCCGGGAAGAUGGCGCCAGCGGUCAAGAGCGAGGUCAGCGGGGCUGCGAGCACUAUGACAGAGGAUGUCUCCUAAAGGCACCUUGCUGUGACAAGCUUUAUACUUGCCGCUUGUGUCAUGAUAACAAUGAAGAUCAUCAACUAGAUCGCUUUAAAGUGAAGGAAGUGCAGUGCAUAAACUGUGAAAAAAUUCAACAUGCCCAACAGACUUGUGAAGAAUGUAGCACAUUGUUUGGAGAAUAUUAUUGUGAUAUAUGCCAUUUGUUUGACAAAGAUAAGAAGCAGUAUCACUGUGAAAACUGUGGAAUUUGUAGGAUUGGUCCAAAGGAAGAUUUUUUCCAUUGUUUGAAAUGUAACUUAUGCCUAGCUAUGAAUCUUCAAGGAAGACACAAGUGUAUUGAAAAUGUGUCCCGACAGAAUUGUCCAAUAUGUUUGGAGGACAUUCACACAUCCCGUGUUGUUGCUCAUGUCUUGCCAUGUGGACAUCUUUUACAUAGAACGUGUUAUGAAGAAAUGUUGAAAGAGUGA